CCACGGGUGGCUGCAGUCGAGAAUUUUUCUCAAUGGGCGAAAGCCUGAAGGAGCGACGCCGCGUGGGGGAUGAAGGGCUUCGGCUCGUAAACCCCUGUCAUUUGCGAGCAAACCUUACUUGUGAAUAGCGAGUGAGUUGAUAGUAGCGAAAGAGGAAGGGACGGCUAACUCUGUGCCAGCAGCCGCGGUAAUACAGAGGUCCCAAGCGUUGUUCGGAUUUACUGGGCGGAAAGGGUGCGUAGGCGGUUGGGUAAGUUCGGUGUGAAAUCUCCAGGCUUAACUUGGAAAAGGCAUUGAAUACUACACAGCUUGAGGUUCGGAGGGGAGACUGGAAUUCUUGGUGUAGCAGUGAAAUGCGUAGAUAUCAAGAGGAACACCAGUGGCGAAGGCGAGUCUCUGGACGAAAUCUGACGCUGAGGCACGAAAGCUAGGGGAGCAAACA
rnacentral:rRNA from 1 species